rnacentral:misc_RNA from 1 species
GAUUGAAGAACGCAGCGAAAUGCGAUACGUAAUGUGAAUUGCAGAUUUCAGUGAAUCAUCGAAUCUUUGAACGCACAUUGCGCCCGCCAGUAUUCUGGCGGGCAUGCCUGUUCGAGCGUCAUUUCAACCAUCAAGCCUUCGCUUGUGUUGGGGCCCCGCGGCUGCCGCGGUCCCCUAAAUCCAGUGGCGGGCUCGUCGUCGUACCGAGCGCAGUAGACAUCCUCGCUCCGGGAACCCGACGGGUGCCGGCCGUGAAACCCCCCACAUCAAGGUUGACCUCGGAUCAGGUAGGAAUACCCGCUGAACUUAAGCAUAUCAAUAAGCGGAGGA